CUCUCUCUCAUCAGUAUCAUCCGAGAGUCUUUCCGUCUUUUGCUUGUAGAAUUGUCCGUAUGAAGAGAAUAAUGGGAUAUUGCAACAGUGAAAUACUAGUAAAGAGUGGUGGUGGUUGUGGUGGUGGUGGUGCCGUUGGGAAGGCGAAAUCCACGGUCGUUUUGUUGUGGAGGCAGUGGACGCGCUGGACUGAGUGAGUGUCGCGGCGGUGCAGGACACAAUCAAUCUCACAGGAGCCAAACGCAACCGAAUAGAGAGUGGAAUCCAAACUGUAGGUUGCCACAUCCACUGACCCUGGCCACCACCACAGCAGUGCCUCCCCCAGCCAAGGCCGAGGCGUGUACUCUGAAGGACUAACCAACAUAAGUCAGGACGACCACAGCCGUAGAAGAUAACAUUACAUGAAGUCUGCAAGUCAGUAACAAGCAGUGUGUCUCUGGUGCUUGGCGUGCCUCUACAAAGCUGAGAUGAGCAGUAGUGCUUGAUGGGGGACUCCCCCAUCCCCCACUCCCAAACACCCUUCCGCUGUCCCUCCUGCCUCGCUAUAACUUCACCCUGACAGCAGAUGUCCUCGCCGAGUCAGUAGCCCUGACUCAGGAGACACCCGCCACACGCCACCACGGAGAGGCAAGUUUCCGAGGUUCAGGGAAGCGUGAAGGAGAGCAAGCAACUCCUCGAUACUGAUCAGCAGACGGCACCUCCGCGGCAUCCUGAGACGGGGACUCCACUCCGUGACUUGAUCUGGAGUUUGGCUCGCGUCGCUAUUUUUAGCUGCCUGCAACUUGACUCAGACUCCAGGGGUAAUUUGCCUUCCCUCUCUGCCUCGCCCUGGAGAUACACGGACAUCAAUAAAGACUGUGGGACUCACGGGCAGUGGACGACAACGGGCCCCGUGACGACGCUCUGGUUGUAGAGGACAGCGUGGAGGAGGUGCAGCACGGCGCCUGGGUCCCGCAGCCCGCCGGGGAAGUGAAAGUGA